rnacentral:lncRNA from 1 species
GGGCGUGUUGCAUUUAUUUUGAUCUGAGUUUGCUUUUAUUUUGCAGGUAAGCUUGAUUGUGUGCUUUGAAGAUAUAAUUUUGCUCUGUAAUUUCUACAAUUUCUGUAAGUUGAUCAUCAGGACGUAUUGAAUUCUUGUGGUUUGUAAUUUGUGCAAGGAUUUUUUUUUAUUCUUUUUAGCUUUGCAUUGUGUGCUUUAAAGAUAUAAUUUUGCUACUUAUG